rnacentral:tRNA from 9 species
GCCUCCGUAGCUCAGGGGAUAGAGCACCGCUCUCCUAAAGCGGGUGCCGCAGGUUCGAAUCCUGCCGGAGGCG